CCUCCCAGGGUGUAACUUACUUUACCUGGUCUCCGGCACAGGGUGGGCGCUGCAGCGAUCCGUCCCCCGCCGGCCGCCGCCGGUUCGCCUCGCUGUCACCGGGCUGUUGGAGGGUAGCGAUGACGUUUUACUCCUCCCUGUAAUCUUCCAGCAUCCAGCACAAAUUCCUGUAGAUAGAAGGUCACUGAAGAACCAUUAAAUGAAUUACUUCUGCUGUGCACUUAACAUCACUAGAAGUUUAAAUCAUGAAAGCAUGUUC